AGUCGAAACCGGCAGAGACCGGUCAUGCAGGGAUAGCCUCCUGCAUCUGAUGAGGACAGGCUGAA
rnacentral:hammerhead_ribozyme from 1 species